GGGCUUGUAGGUAAAUGGUAUACCGUGGUCUUCGCAUGACCGAGUUCCGAGUUCGAUUCUCGGCAAGUCCA
rnacentral:tRNA from 1 species